rnacentral:rRNA from 1 species
AUGGCGCAUGUCGGGGGCGUCAUCGCCUCGGCCAUCCUGGGUGUCGUGAGCAAACAGAUCAUGUCCGCCAUCAAAGGGCAGAUCAAGCUGCAGUGGAACUUCGUGAGCGACCUACAGAAGAUGAGAUCGUCGCUGCAGACGGUGGAGGCCCUGCUCGAAGACGCUGAGAGGCGGUCCAUCACGGAUCUGGCGGUGCGUCUGUGGCUGGGGCGGCUCAAGGACGCUAUGUAUGAGAUCUCUCACAUGAUCGAUGAUUUCGAAGUCAACAGCGAACCUGCUGCACAAAAGGUAUGUGACUGA